AUUGAACGCUGGCGGCGUGCCUAACACAUGCAAGUCGAGCGGCAGCGCGGGAGCAAUCCUGGCGGCGAGCGGCGGACGGGUGAGUAACGCUUGGGAAUCUGCCUGUUAGUGGGGGACAACCCGGGGAAACGUCGGGCGUAAUACCGCAUACGCACUACGGUGGAAAGACCGGGGACCGCAAGGCCUGGCGCUAACAGAUGAGCCCAAGUCGGAUUAGCUAGUUGGUAGGGUAACGGCCUACCAAGGCGACGAUCCGUAACUGGUCUGAGAGGACGACCAGUCACACCGGAACUGAGACACGGUCCGGACUCCUACGGGAGGCAGCAGUGGGGAAUAUUGGACAAUGGGGGAAACCCUGAUCCAGCGACGCCGCGUGGGUGAAGAAGGCCUGCGGGUUGU
rnacentral:rRNA from 1 species